UAUAAAAGGUAACGCCUGCCCAGUGACUAUAUGUUCAACGGCUGCGGUAUUCUGACCGUACGAAGGUAGCGUAAUCACUUGUCUUCUAAAUAAAGACCAGUAUGAAUGGCAUAACGAGAACUAAACUGUCUCCCCUAUCUAAUCAGUGAAACUGAUCUCCCCGUGCAGAAGCGGGGUUAAUAUCAUAAGACGAGAAGACCCUGUGGAGCUUUAAAGUCAACAUCAGCUGCCAUAAUUACUCAUACACCUGCGCAGAUAUGAUUUUGAUUUUUCAGCUGGGGCGCCUAUGGAGAAUAAUCAAUCCUCCAUGAAGAAUUUACUACGAGCAACCUCUCUAAGUUUUAAUUCACUUAACUUUAAUUGAUCCAAUCCAUUGAUCAACGGACCAAGUUACCCCAGGGAUAACAGCGCAAUCCACUUUUAGAGUCCCUAUCGACGAGUGGGCUUACGACCUCGAUGUUGGAUUAGGGCAUCCAAGUGGUGCAACCAUUACUAAAGGUUCGUUUGUUCAACGAUUAAAGCCCUACGUGAUCUGAG
rnacentral:rRNA from 1 species